rnacentral:rRNA from 1 species
CCCUUAGAUGUUCGGGGCCGCGCGCGCGCUACACUGAAGGAAUCAGCACGUCUUUCUCCUUGUCCGAAAGGACUGGGUAACCCGCUGAACCUCCUUCGUGCUAGGGAUUGGGGCUUGUAAUUCUUCCCCAUGAACGAGGAAUUCCCAGUAAGCGCGAGUCAUAAGCUCGCGUUGAUUACGUCCCUGCCCUUUGUACACACCGCCCGUCGCUACUACCGAUUGGAUGGUUUAGUGAGAUCCUCGGAUUGGUCCCGGAGCGGCCUCUGGUCGUGCCGGAGUGCCGAAAAGAAUGUCGAACUUGAUCAUCUAGAGGAAGUAAAAGUCGUAACA